rnacentral:tRNA from 1 species
GGGCAUGUAGCUCAGCUGGUUAGAGCACUACACUGAUAAUGUAGGGGUCGGAGGUUCGAGUCCUCCCAUGCCCACCA